UCUGUGAUGCUUGUAGAUCUAAGUCUGGGA
rnacentral:piRNA from 1 species